UACGUAGGGUGCAAGCGUUGUCCGGAAUUAUUGGGCGUAAAGAGCUCGUAGGCGGCUUGUCGCGUCGGCUGUGAAAACCUAGGGCUCAACCCUGGGCUUGCAGCCGAUACGGGCAAGCUAGAAUUCGGUAGGGGAGACUGGAAUUCCUGGUGUAGCGGUGAAAUGCGCAGAUAUCAGGAGGAACACCGGUGGCGAAGGCGGGUCUCUGGACCGAUAUUGACGCUGAGGAGCGAAAGCGUGGGGAGCGAACAGG
rnacentral:rRNA from 1 species